AGAGUUUGAUCCUGGCUCAGGACGAACGCUGGCGGCGUGCCUAACACAUGCAAGUCGAGCGAGAGACUUCGGUCUCUAGCGGCGGACGGGUGAGUAACACGUGGGCAACCUGCCUCAUAGAGGGGGAUAGCCUCCCGAAAGGGAGAUUAAUACCGCAUAAGAAGCGUUGAUCGCAUGAUCGAAGCUUUAAAGGAGCAAUC
rnacentral:rRNA from 1 species